CCUACGGGUCGCACCAGUGGGGAAUAUUGCACAAUGGGCGCAAGCCUGAUGCAGCCAUGCCGCGUGUAUGAAGAAGGCCUUAGGGUUGUAAAGUACAUUCAGUUGGGAGGAAGGCGUUGAUGCUAAUAUCAUCAACGAUUGACGUUACCGACAGAAGAAGCACCGGCUAACUCCGUGCCAGCAGCCGCGGUAAUACGGAGGGUGCAAGCGUUAAUCGGAAUUACUGGGCGUAAAGCGCACGCAGGCGGUUGAUUAAGUUAGAUGUGAAAUCCCCGGGCUUAACCUGGGAAUGGCAUCUAAGACUGGUCAGCUAGAGUCUUGUAGAGGGGGGUAGGAUUCCAUGUGUAGCGGUGAAAUGCGUAGAGAUCUGGAGGAAUACCGGUGGCGAAGGCGGCCCCCUGGACAAAGACUGACGCUCAGGUGCGAGAGCGUGGGGAGCAAACAGGAUUAGAUACCCCGGUAGUC
rnacentral:rRNA from 1 species